AACGAAUGCCAAGGGCGAAGAUUUGUUCCCGCAAACAAACGCAGCGCAGCAGAGCUUUUCACUCCUCUGCUCUGCCAAAUUUAAUUUUGCGGACAUGGUAGAACCAGAUUCUUCAAAUUUCAGUCUCCUUCGGUAAUCCUCUCUCUAUCUAUAUUCAAAUUUACUUUACUCGUUGAAGAAAUUAGCUCCAUUUUUCUUGAUUUUUCCCAUGAAUCUAACGCAAAAAUCAAUUAAAUCUACUUGUUCAAAUGGAGAAUUACUUAUUAGUUUCAAGAAUCUUCAUUCAAGACUGAAUUUUUCAUCAUCAAAUUGUGUCCAAAUUCUAACAGAUUAUAGUGGGUCUGGCAGACCCUUUUCAAACCCUCUGCAUAACUUUCUACCUAAAACCCAAAACCCCCAAAACACAGUGAGUCUGAUAUGUUCAGCUCUAAAGAACAGAAACAAUGACCAUUUGUCCCUCCUUCAGAAAACCAUCCAAGAUAAUGGGCUUAUUAGUUAUUUCAGUAACAGUGAAAUCUCAAGGGUUCUGUUGAGAUGCCAGUCUGAUUCAUGUAGUGCUCUUAGUUUCUUUAACUGGGUCAAGAAUGAUUUGGGUGUGGAGCCUAACACUCAAAACUACUGUCUUGUAAUUCAUAUACUGACUUGGACAAGGAACUUUUCACAAGCAAUGAAAUUUUUGUCUGAAUUGGUUGAUUUGAAGAGAGAUGGAAUGGAGAGUGUGGAUGUGUUUGAAAGUUUGCUUUCAUCUAGUGGUCUGUGUAAUUGGGACCCUGUUGUGUUUGAUAUGCUAAUUAAGGCUUUUCUCAAGGUAAACAUGGUGAAAGAUGGAUUUAGAGCGUUUAGAAAGACGGUGAAGCAUGGAAUGUACCCGAGUGUUAUUACUGUGAACUGCCUUUUAACUGGUCUUUCAAAGUUGAAUUAUAGCAAAAAAUGUUGGGAAGUUUAUGCUGAAAUGGAAAGAAUUGGAGUGCACCCGAAUUCGUGUACCUUUAAUUUAUUAACCCAUGUCUUGUGCAAGGAUGAAGAUGUGAACAAGGUUAAUGAAUUCUUGGAGAAAAUGGAAGAAGAAGGGUUUCAACCUGAUAUAGUUACAUAUAAUACUUUAGUUAGUAGCUAUUGUAGGAAAGGAAGAAUGAAAGAUGCAGUUCACUUGUAUCAAAUUAUGUACGUUAGAGAUGUAUCACCAGAUUUGUUCACAUAUACUUCUUUGAUAAAUGGCUUUUGUAAAAAGGGAAAUGUGAAAGAUGCUCAUCAGUUGUUUAUAAGGAUGGCUGACAGAGGGUUAAAACCAGAUGUUAUUUUGUAUAACACUCUUAUUUAUGGUUAUUGCAAAGAGGGGAUGAUGCAAGAGGCACGUUUUCUGUUGCAUGACAUGAUUGGAGAAGGGAUGUAUCCUGAUAAGUUCACUUGUUCAGUUCUUGUACAAGGAUAUCAAAAACAGGAUAAUUUGGUUUCAGCUGUGAAUUUAGUCACCGAGCUUCAAAGAUUUAGAUUUGUAGUAUCUCAUGAUAUAUACAAUUAUCUUAUUGCUGCACUUUGUAUUGAGAAUCGACCAUUUGCAGCCAAAGCUCUAAUUGAUAGAGUAUCUGGCAACAGAUAUGAGCCUGGCAAUAUGGUCUACGGGGAGUUGAUUGAAUCUUUCUGCAGAUGCAAUUUCCCCGAUGAGGCUUUAUGCUUGAAAGCAGAGAUGGUAUCAAAAUAUUUGAAGCCUGAUAUUGGUACAUAUAGAGCUAUAAUUAAAUGUUUGUGUAAAUUAGGCCGAAGCAUGGAUGCUAACUCCUUGAUGAGAGAAAUGACUGAUUGUGAUGUGCCACCUGAUAUUGAAGUCUGUAGAGCUUUAAUAAAUGGUCAAUGUGGGGAGAACAAUUUCUGUGAGGCUCAGUCGCUGUUAAGCUUCUUUGCUCAAGAAUUUAAAAUAUUUGACACAGUUUGUUACAACACAAUUGUCAGGCUUCUAAGUGGUGAAGGUGAUAUUGCAAAAUUGAUGAAAUUUCAAGAUAAAAUGAGGAAAGUGGGUUUUGCGCCAAAUCAGCUGACAUGCAAGUACGUUAUUGAUGGAUUACAGAACGCUGUGGGAGUCCACAAAAUCAACAGCUGAGUGCAGUAAUGAGUGUCGGUCCAGAUGGUCAUUCAUAGAACUCUCCGAAUGUAAUAUCUUUUUCUUUGGGCAGUUCAGUCUUUGGUGGCAAUGAUUUUCUCCGUUAAGAUGACAUUGCUGCAGUGGAUCUCAAAUGACUUUAGCUUCUUUACUGAAAGGUGCUUGGAUUCACACAUCUUGAGAUUAGACACGGAGGUUCUUGAUCUUGACAUUUCAGAAAUAGAGGAUCAAUCACUUCAGGGUACAAGGUUAUGAAAUAUGAAGCUAUAUUACUUGCAGAAGGAUUGACAUUGGUUUCUGUUAGAGUUGAACUUAAAGAUCCUCAGUACUAGAACCACAGAUCAAGUUUGAAUGAUAUGCUCACUGGUUCUCUGUGUUUGGUUUUCAGCUGUAUUAUGGUUCCUUCAUGGCUGACCUAAAUUUGGAAUUAGUAGUGGAUGGCUAAAGAAGGUGUCAAUUCUCAAAGGUCAGAUCCUGCUUCCAUAGUAUUGGAGGUCACCUGUAUUUUCCAGUUAAUUGUGAAGAUUUCUGUUAAUAUCAAAAGCACCGACCUUUGCUGCUAUGAAUUGGUUCUAAUACAAGGGAGGAAACAAUGAAAAGCUUCUUCAGAUUUAAAGUUGGUUUUUGACAUGCAGAUGCACAUAUGGGGUGGUAGAACUUCCUUUAAGAUUUUCCUUUGUCAGGAAUCUCAUUCAGCCUCUCUAUCUUCACAAGGUAGGAUAAGGCUGCAUAGACCCUACCUGUUGUAGGGAACUCAUCUCAAAACAAGACCCUGUACCCUGCUGUUCAAGAGUUUAUACAUUGUUGAAGCUAAUGUAUCUGUCUGCUUAUAUAAGAUGCUUCUGUUAUCCUUUCA